rnacentral:rRNA from 1 species
CCUACGGGUGGCAGCAGUGGGGAAUAUUGCACAAUGGGGGGAACCCUGAUGCAGCAACGCCGCGUGAAGGAAGACGGUUUUCGGAUUGUAAACUUCUAUCAAUAGGGAAGAAAGAAAUGACGGUACCUAAAUAAGAAGCCCCGGCUAACUACGUGCCAGCAGCCGCGGUAAUACGUAGGGGGCAAGCGUUAUCCGGAUUUACUGGGUGUAAAGGGGGCGCAGACGGCAAUGCAAGCCAGGAGUGAAAGCCCGGGGCCCAACCCCGGGACUGCUCUUGGAACUGCAUGGCUGGAGGACAGGAGGGGCAGGCGGAAUGCCUAGUGGAGCGGGGAAAUGCGUAGAUAUUAGGAGGAACACCGGUGGCGAAGGCGGCCUGCUGGACUGUGACUGACGUUGAGGCCCGAAGGCGUGGGGAGCAAACAGGAUUAGAUACCCCAGUAGUC